CAUUUCCCAAGAGGGCAUGAUUUUUCCGAUUAUUCUAACACCACUUGAAUGCACAUUCGUUACUGGAUCUCAAAUGGAGCGCUGAGCGAUGCCGGUCAACAGAAGCACGUAAACCCACGGACUAACUCCGUCAUGACCUACAGGUUGUCAGACAAACAUAAAGCUCCGUGGACAUGUUGAGCUCUGUUUGCCAUCAGGUAGCACAAAGUGAAAACAUUUGAACACGAGAACCUUGUACGGUGCUCGGAUGGGUGAUAAUACGAAGCAACGUGCAGAGACGCCACACGGUAGUGAUCCUCCACACCUGAGUGUUCUUCGGACAGGUGUUCCGCACGCACGCCUCCCUGCAGUCAGGACUCCUCUGUGCCAACAGGUGCUUUACCUGCAUGAGAGCAGAGUUUCUGGGACCAUCAGAGGAGUAUUACUUGUGGGUACUUUCUACAACACUGCGGGGAAACAGUGACGCACACCCGUGAACUCCAGAGCUGCAGAAACAAACGGAUCAAAUGGAAAUAAGGAAGUGCAGCACUGACAGCAUCUGUGCGGUCCAGCCUGAAACACAGUUAACUCUGCUCAGCUGUGCUCUGAUGUUUCACACGGUAAAACGUCCUGAAGCUUCGCUGUUGUUACGGGGUCGCAGGUCAAUGGGAACUGAUCCCAUAAACGGAGAUUCUUUUAAUAAACAAUCUUUGUAAAGCACUUUGAA